AGUGAACGCUGGCGGUAGGCCUAACACAUGCAAGUCGAACGGCAGCACAGUAAGAGCUUGCUCUUACGGGUGGCGAGUGGCGGACGGGUGAGGAAUACAUCGGAAUCUACUUUUUCGUGGGGGAUAACGUAGGGAAACUUACGCUAAUACCGCAUACGACCUACGGGUGAAAGCAGGGGAUCUUCGGACCUUGCGCGAUUGAAUGAGCCGAUGUCGGAUUAGCUAGUUGGCGGGGUAAAGGCCCACCAAGGCGACGAUCCGUAUCUGGUCUGAGAGGAUGAUCAGCCACACUGGAACUGAGACACGGUCCAGACUCCUACGGGAGGCAGCAGUGGGGAAUAUUGGACAAUGGGCGCAAGCCUGAUCCAGCCAUACCGCGUGGGUGAAGAAGGAGUUCGGGUUGUAAAGCCAUUUUGUUGUGAGAGAAAAGCAGCAGGUUAAUACCCCGCUGUUCUGACGGUACCGAAAGAAUAAGCACCGGCUAACUUCGUG
rnacentral:rRNA from 1 species